GACGAACGCUGGCGGCGUGCUUAACACAUGCAAGUCGAACGGAAAGGCCCUGCGUUUGUGGUGUGCUCGAUUGGCGAACGCGUGAGUAACACGUGAGUAACCUGUCCUUGACUGUGGGAUAACUUCAGGGAACUGGGGCGCUUACCCGAUAUGAGCUCUUGCUGCAUGUGGUUGAUAGGUAAGUGUCGGCGGUUGGGGAUGGACUCGCUGCGUAUCAGCUGCUUGGUGGGGUAGUGGCUGACCAAGGCUUCGACGGGUAGCCGGCCUGAGAGGGUGACCGGCGACAUUGGGACUGAGGUACGGCAGCGACUGCUACGGGAGGGAGAAGUGGGGAAUAUUGACGAAUGGGCGGAAGCCUGAUGAAGAAAGGCCGCGUGCGGGAUGACGGCCUUAGGGUUGUAGACCGCUUUCGCAUGUGACGAAGCGUGAGUGACGGUAAUGGGUAAAGAAGCACAGGCUAAAUACGUG
rnacentral:rRNA from 1 species